UACAGAGGUCCCAAGCGUUGUUCGGAUUCACUGGGCGUAAAGGGUGCGUAGGUGGUGAGGUAAGUCGGAUGUGAAAGCUCCGAGCUCAACUCGGAAAUGGCAUUGGAAACUACCUUGCUAGAGGGUUUGAGGGGGGACUGGAAUACUUGGUGUAGCAGUGAAAUGCGUAGAUAUCAAGUGGAACACCAGUGGCGAAGGCGAGUCCCUGGAAAACUCCUGACACUGAGGCACGAAAGCUAGGGGAGCAAA
rnacentral:rRNA from 1 species